rnacentral:rRNA from 1 species
AUCGAUAANCCACGUUAAAUUUCACUUCAAUUUAAAGCUUAUAUACCACCAUCUCAAGAAUUAAUUAACAAAUAUUUUCAAAAAAAAAAAUAAAAAGUUAGGUCAAGGUAUAACCCACAUUAAAGAAUGAGAUGAAUUACAUUAAUCAUAAAUUUAAGAUUACAAAUAAAAUAUUUAUAUAAAUAAGAAUUUAAAAGAAAUAUAGAAAUAAUAAUUCAAUAUGAUAAAGAUUACAAAUGUGCACACAUCGCCC